rnacentral:rRNA from 1 species
UACGAAGGGGGCUAGCGUUGUUCGGAUUUACUGGGCGUAAAGCGCACGUAGGCGGAUCGAUCAGUCAGGGGUGAAAUCCUGGAGCUCAACUCCAGAACUGCCUUUGAUACUGAGGAUCUUGAGUUCGGGAGAGGUGAGUGGAACUGCGAGUGUAGAGGUGAAAUUCGUAGAUAUUCGCAAGAACACCAGUGGCGAAGGCGGCUCACUGGCCCGAUACUGACGCUGAGGCACGAAAGCGUGGGGAGCAAACAGG